CCGGUACAGAGGGUUGCCAAGGCGCGAGCCGGAGCCAAUCCCCAUAAAAGCCGGUCGUAGUCCGGAUUGCAGUCUGCAACUCGACUGCAUG
rnacentral:rRNA from 1 species